ensembl:lncRNA
CCCCCCCCCUUUUUACCCCCAUACUUUGACCCCCAUCCCACUCAAGACCGCUCCCCAUUUAAGAUCCCCCCCAUUUAAAGAUCCCGCUCCCAUUCAAGGACACCCCCCCCCCAUAUUCAAGACCCCCCCCCUCAAGACCCCCCCCCCAGUUCAAGAACCCCACCCAAUUCAAGACCCCCCCCAUAAUUCAAGACCCCCCCAAUUCAAGACACGCCCCCCACAAUUCAAGGCCCCCCCCCCAAUUCAAGGCCCCCCCCCAUAUUCCAGACACCCCCCCAGUUCAAGACCCCCCCCCCUACUUCAAGACCCCCCCCAUAUUCAAGACCCCCCCGCCUAAUUUCAGACCCCCCCCCCUCCACUCGUGCAAUGGAGGAAGGGGGGUUGGGGGGGGGGGGUUGUGCCAAUGGAUAAAGCAGCGUGCAGGAUAUUGGGGGGGGCUCUUGUUGCAACAGGAUUGGGGGGGGGGGGAAAGGGAACAGAUCCUCGUGCAAUGGAUCCUUGUGCAAUGGAUCCUUGUGCAAGGGAUUCUCAAGCACCAGGACUUGGGGGGGAGCAGCAGAUCCUCAUGCAAGGGAUGAGUGUGCAAGAGAUCGUCGUGCAAGGGAUGAGUGUGCAAGGGAUCCUCAAGCACUAGGACUUGGAGGGGGGGGAAACAGCAGAUCCUCGUGCAAGGGAUCCUUGUGCAAGAGAUCGUAGUGCAAGGGAUAAUCGUGCAAGGGAUUCUCAAGCACUAGGACUUGGAGGGGGGGGGGAAGGAGCAGCAGAUCCUCGUGCAAGGGAUGAGUGUGCAAGAGAUCAUCGUGCGAGGGAUCGUCGUGCAAGGGAUUCUCAAGCACCAGGACUUGGAAUGGGGGGGGGACUUGUGCAACACAUCCACGUGCAACCCACCGUCAUGCAAAGCAUCCACGUGCAAAGAUCCUCGUGCAAAGAACCUUCGUGCAAAAGGCACAAGUCCUCGUGCAAAAGCAAGUCCUCGUGCAAAGGAUUCGUCGUGCAAAGAACCCUCGUGCAAAAGGCACGUCCUCAUGCAAAGGCAAGUCCUCGUGCAAAGGAUUCAUUGUGCAAAGAACCCUCGUGCAAAGGGUUUAUUAGUGCAAAGGAUUCCUCGUGCAAAAGUGCAUCACCACCUCAUGCAUCACCUCCAUGUGCACAAGGACUGGGGGGGGGUCGUGCAACAGCCCCUCGUGCAAAGGACCCUCGUGCAACAGGACUCCCAGCAUCCACAUCAGCUCCUCGUGCAUCAACCCCUCGUGCAACGGGCCCUGGUGCAAAAUGGGGUCACCUCCUCGUGCAUCACACCCUCGUGCAACAGCUCCUCGUGCACAACUGGACUGGGUAAGACCUCGUGCAACACCAUCAAGUCCUCGUGCAACACCAGCUCCUCGUGCACGGACAGCCCCUCGUGCAACACCAUCAAGUCCUCGUGCAACAUCAGCUCCUCCUCGUGCAACACCAGCCCCUCGUGCAACACCAGGACCUGAAUCCCACCCACCCCCCAUGAUCCCAUUUGAUCCCAUUUGCACUUGGGGGGGGGGGGGGGAUCCUCGUGCGUUGGCACCACGCGCUUUGAAGGGUGGGCGGGGGUUG